rnacentral:rRNA from 1 species
GACGAACGCUGGCGGCGUGCUUAACACAUGCAAGUCGAACGGAAAGGCCCUGCUUUUGUGGGGUGCUCGAGUGGCGAACGGGUGAGUAACACGUGAGUAACCUGCCCUUGACUUUGGGAUAACUUCAGGAAACUGGGGCUAAUACCGGAUAGGAGCUCCUGCUGCAUGGUGGGGGUUGGAAAGUUUCGGCGGUUGGGGAUGGACUCGCGGCUUAUCAGCUUGUUGGUGGGGUAGUGGCUUACCAAGGCUUUGACGGGUAGCCGGCCUGAGAGGGUGACCGGCCAAAAUGGGACUUGGGUACGGCCCAGGCUUCUACGGGGAGGAAGAGGGGGGGAUAAUGGCCAAUGGGCCGGAGGCUGAUGGAACAACGGCGGGGGGGGGGAGGACGGCCUUGGGGUGGAAACCGGCUUUGGCUGGUAACGAGGGGUAGGGACGGGAAAUGGGAAAGGAGACACCGGUUACUUCGGG